CUUUUUUCUAAUGGAGGAAGGUGGAAGGGAGAGUUCAUGCAACUUCCCAGUGAGAUCCACCAUCGUUUCUCCUGCCUAUGCCCACAGGGCACUUGGUUUAUCCUGCAACUGCUGCAAGUGCUCUCUCGUGCUCUCUCUGUCUCCAGUGAUAAGCUGACCAGAUGCCUUGAAUUAAGUACAGGGUCACCAACAUCUCUAAUAGAAUCCAACUGUGGAAUAGAAAAACUAUUUCGUCUAAGAAGUGGAUCCUAGCUGUCAAAUAAAAAAUCGCUGUUGAAUGCUGUAAAGUACAUUUUUACACCCAUGUACAAUUUAGAGCUUAGGAACUCAUGGAAAAAAAUAGAGUUAACACGGAUAAAGGGAUUUUAAAAGGCGAGAGAGGGAAGAGUUUCUUAAGGAGUCUCCAAUGACAAAAAUGUGUUCAUUUUCUGAGACCUCCAGAAUGAAUUACUAAGGUAUCCUCAAACAAAAGUGGUUUUGCUAUUCAGAAAUUCAUAUGUUCUAAAUAGAGAAAAUUAAAAAUUAAAAAGACAUG
ensembl:lncRNA novel transcript